rnacentral:tRNA from 1 species
GGGAGUUUAGCUCAGCUGGUUUAGAGCGCAUGCCUUACAAGCAUGAGGUCACUGGUUCGAACCCAGUAACUCCCACCA